AGAGGCAAAUAGGAAAUAAGCUGUGAACAGUAGCUGAGUGUGAGCAGGGCAGCUGCUGCUAGUCAGCUUUCAACACAAAAGAGACAUCUCCCACAGAGCACCAGACCUGUUCAGCCAGCACAAGAGGAGCUAGCCAGUCUUAAGAUCAGAGCUCUGCUCCCUUCCCUCUCUCAGCUACCCAUGUAGAGCAGAUUUCAGCUGCACUGUGCAUGGGGGUGCUGAAGCAAGCUGCAGUCCUGGCAGCAGCCCAGGCUAAGCUGCCUCCAAGAGCCAAGCACCUUCACAGCCUGGCCAGAUUAUCGGACCACAGAGAAGGAUGAUGUAUGCAUCUUCCAAGAGGUCACAGUACUGAGCCCUGGACAGUCAGUGAUUCAGUACUUGGAUGGAGACCUUUGUUACACUGUACAGUGUUUACAAGAAAAAGAUCAGAACACAGGCUACAAUGCCAUGCAUUUCACAAUGAUGAACUGUUCCCAGCAAUGUGAAGCUCAUCAAGUAUACAUUCCCUCCUUCAGUCACCAUACUUGUUGUGGUACGUGUCAAAACGUGUCCUGCUCUUUUCAAACAGAGAAUGGAACGCUGACUGUGUAUGAGGAAGGAAGCACCUGGACCUCCAACUGUACCAACUACAAAUGUGUAAAGACUGCUGCAGGGGCUAUUGUCCUGGGGUCAAGUGUUGUC